rnacentral:lncRNA from 1 species
CCGGAGCCAAUCACCCUGCAACCACGCCAAAACAGUAUUGGAAAGUCUCAUUAGUUUUUGCGUUCAUAGACCAUAUGAUAAGGCAACUGGAGAGUGGAGUCGCGUCAAGUUAUCAGAAAAUCGCUUCUUUGUGCUGCUUCAUCGUGUUGUAGGAAAUAUCACAAACGAACACAUCUCAAUAUUGUCUGAAACAUACGAAAC